CUAUUUGGUUGACCCUCGCAGAUCCCAUCUGAUCUCAGAAGGUAAGCUGGGUUGGAUCCGGUUAGUAGCUGGAUGGAAGACCACCUGGAAAUACUCGGCACUAGGCUGA
rnacentral:rRNA from 1 species